rnacentral:tmRNA from 5 species
GGGGGCGAUCGGUUUCGACGAUGGCUUGAGGCCAAAGGGGCAUGCCGAGCAUUUGUGACAAGCUCGUAAAAUAAAAGUCGCAAAAUAUAGUUGCAAAUGAUAGCAGCUUUGCUGGUCACGAACUCGCGGUAGCUGUAUAAGCUAAAGUGAGUCCGGUCGCCGCCUAAAAAACGGCAACAGCCUGUCCCCAGAUCCGCUUAUCGGUUUGGGUCGGCAGUCAGAUAGGUAAGAUCGCGUUGGUGGUGUGGCCCAUGUCAUCAGCGUUAAAUGCAGGGCUCGCCGUUUGGUAAUCCCGUCUGCCGGAAUCUAAACGGUUAACAUCAAAGGCAACACUAAGCAUGUAGAUCCGAUGGAAGACGGUCAGCGGACGCGGGUUCGAUCCCCGCCGCCUCCAUUC